rnacentral:rRNA from 1 species
CCUACGGGCGGCAGCAGUGAGGAAUAUUGGUCAAUGGACGCAAGUCUGAACCAGCCAUGCCGCGUGCAGGAAGACGGCUCUAUGAGUUGUAAACUGCUUUUGUACGAGGGUAAACACAGAUACGCGUAUCUGUCUGAAAGUAUCGUACGAAUAAGGAUCGGCUAACUCCGUGCCAGCAGCCGCGGUAAUACGGAGGAUUCAAGCGUUAUCCGGAUUUAUUGGGUUUAAAGGGUGCGUAGGCGGUCGGAUAAGUUAGAGGUGAAAUCCCGGGGCUCAACUUCGGAAUUGCCUCUGAUACUGUUCGGCGAGAGAGUAGUUGCGGUAGGCGGAAUGUAUGGUGUAGCGGUGAAAUGCUUAGAGAUCAUACAGAACACCGAUUGCGAAGGCAGCUUACCAAGCUACUUCUGACGUUGAGGCACGAAAGCGUGGGGAGCAAACAGGAUUAGAUACCCUUGUAGUC